GACAGAGGGUGCAAACGUUGUUCGGAAUUACUGGGCGUAAAGCGCGUGUAGGCGGCUAUGUAAGUCGGGCGUGAAAUCCCACGGCUCAACCGUGGAAGUGCACCCGAAACUGCGUAGCUAGAGUCCUGGAGAGGAAGGUGGAAUGCUUGGUGUAGAGGUGAAAUUCGUAGAUAUCGAGAGGAACACCGGUGGCGAAGGCGGCCAACUGGACGAGUACUGACGCUGAGGCACGAAAGCGUGGGGAGCAAACAGG
rnacentral:rRNA from 1 species